UUGACCUGAACUCAGUCGAGAUCACCGCUGAACUUAAGCAUAUCAGUAAGCGGAGGAAAAGAAACUAAACAGGAUUCCCUUAGUAACGGCGAGUGAAA
rnacentral:rRNA from 1 species